rnacentral:lncRNA from 1 species
GUGCUCUUCCGAUCUGUUCAGUGAGGUUUUGUACAUAUGAGCAUUGCACAUAUGUACAAUGCUUUUGUACACUGCAGUUUUGUCUUUGGGCUUUGUCGUUUGAAUUUAUGUCCUGGAACCGUUUUCUGUAUUACUUUAGUUUAUUUUGACUUCUUGGAAAAAUAGUUUUUAUAUUAAUAAGACUGUUUUUUUUUGGGCUUUGCUGAUUUCCCCGACUUUCUUAGCAUUUUAAUUAAGACUGUACAUAAUUUGUAAUUACUGUAUGUACGAAAGUGAUUUUUGCAUAAGCCUUUAAUAUAUUUUUGUAGAACUAAACCCGAGAAGAUAUAUAUAACUCUACAGAUAAGCAUUAUUUACCCGAGACAAUGCUUUUUAUUUGAUAAUCUUGUAGUCAAAAUAGGUAAUUAUCUUCUCCAGUCCUUUUAUUUUUUAUUUUUCCGUCGUUGAAUCAUUAUGUGAAGAUAAGUACCUAUAAAUUAUAUUUUAAAUAAGACAUUGUUUUCCAAACUAAACAAAGGACGUGAUGAAUGAUGUCAAGAAUUUUUUAUAUAAAGUGAAAUGCAUGUCGUUCUAAAAUGCAGCUCAGGAUGUUUUUGGUUUUGUUCUGCUUUUCACCUAGGAAAGUAUUAUGCGCCAGUCAUUCCAAAAUUCAAUCACGGCCAUCUCAGUAGCCAGCAGAUGAAGGAUGGAGAUCCACGGAAAAUCUUAGAUGUAAGGGAUCCAGAAUCUGUCGUAGUCCUCCAUAUGGAAAGCAAUACUACUAUACCACGCGAUCAGAUGGCCGAUUAACCUAACGUCAGGUAAAUCGGUGUUUCUCAAACUGCAGGCAUGAUUCUUAAACGGAAUACGGAGUCGUGAAAGGUUUUAGAAAAAUUUAUGAAGCCAUUAUUAUUUAAAUUUUCAGAAUAUAAGUAUAAUUUUAAGGCA